GGGUCUGUAGCUUAGUUCGGCAUAGCGGCGGACUCUUAAUCCGCAGGUCAAGGGUUCAAAUCCCUUCAGGCCCG
rfam:Methanoregula formicica SMSP chromosome, complete genome.